rnacentral:rRNA from 1 species
UACGUAGGGUGCAAGCGUUAAUCGGAAUUACUGGGCGUAAAGCGUGCGCAGGCGGUGAGCUGUGUCCGAUGUGAAAGCCCCGGGCUUAACCUGGGAAUGGCAUUGGAAACUGGCUCGCUGGAGUGUGGCAGAGGGGGGUGGAAUUCCGCGUGUAGCAGUGAAAUGCGUAGAGAUGCGGAGGAACACCGAUGGCGAAGGCAGCCCCCUGGGCUAACACUGACGCUCAUGCACGAAAGCGUGGGGAGCAAACAGG